rnacentral:lncRNA from 1 species
CAGGAUCAAGUUCCACGUGGGGCUCCCUGCAUGGAGCCUGCUUCUCUCUCUCUGCCUGUAUCUCUGCCUCUCUCUCUGUAUCUCUCAUGAAUAAAUAAAUAAAAUAUUUAAAAAUAAAUAAAUAAGUAAAUAAAUAAAUAAAAUAUUUGCUUUAUUUCCUUAGCUUUUUAUAAACUACUACAAUUUAAGUGCUUUUAAAAUAUACUUAUUGACACUGGACACUGGGUAAUAUAUAAAGUGAUGUUAGGAGAAAUAGAUCCUGUCUCACAAUGUACUGUAAGAAUUCCUUGAAGUUGUUAUCUGUAUAUUUCCUUUGAAAUUUUCAAGGAAAUGUGAUCAACACAAAGCAAAGAAAGUUUGUUGAUUCUAAAGCAAUCAAGGUUGUACAAAUAAAGUCUGAAAAGUCUUAAUCUAAGUGUUACUAAUCUUUAAAAAUUAUAGUUUUGGAUGAUAUCCUUUUGUUAUGUUUUUUAAGAAUAUCAAUAAAUCAUUAUUGCAGUUUCAUUAACAGAAAGUGAGAUGAAGAUUGUAACAUGAUAUAAAGUGAAUCUGUUGGAUUAGGUGAAGACAUGUUUUGGUAUGAUUUAUGCCAUAAAGUCAAUUAACCAGACCAGUAAUGCUAAGUUGUUGUUGCUUUUUUUCCCUUGGAUUUUUGUUUAGAUCUGGAGUACCCAGAAUCAUCUCGAUGAAAUCCAAGACUUUGCAUUUUGACAAUUUGUGGAGAAAAGCAUUAAAGACCUUGGAAAAUUUCCCCAACUGGUUCUGUAGAGAACAGAGAGUAGAAGUAAUUGAUGUCUGCAUGUGGGCUAACUAUCAGGUAGUCUCCUAGAAACAAUUGAAAAGUUACAAGAUCCUACUUAACUUGAAGAGUCAUCAGGGUGAGUUUCUUGAAAAGUUUUGAUACCUAAGAUUCUGACUUCUGAAAUCACAGAAUUUUAUUUAAAGAUAAUUUUCUAAUGUCAAAAAGUAAGAUGAAGUGACCUACAUAGAGAGCUGUGAUAUUUCAUGUAAGUCCAAUACUUUGGUUAGCAAAAAUAAGAAAUUUUAAUAGACUAGCAAAAUGUUAUAAUCAGCCAUUGAAACAACAUGCUUGAUAGCUUUUAAAUAUUUCCAUGAGUGAAUGAAUGAAUUUUUGGAGAUUUAUGUAGUUGCUAUUUAAAUAAGUUAAAUUU